UAUAAAAGCUCGCGUAAAAUAUUGCAAGGCAAAAAUGGGAUGCCUCCAGGAAUCAUGUCACGUGGAGAUCUACAGCGCGUCAAGCAUAAGGCGCAUACGGUCUAUGGGCGGGAACGCAACGCAGGUUUCCAAGUUUUUAAAUUAAAUGUAUUGGGAGGAGGCAUCUCGUAGCAUCGAUAUACCUGCUUGGUUUACCCAAAUACCUAAGCUGGUUCAAAAUGUGGCGCGCGUUAAGCAGCUGUGAAAAUGGCUACUGAGCGAUUUCACAAUUUCUUUUUGGGGAAAGAGCAAAUAUAAAAUAUUUCACAACUCAAAUAUAAGGUUUCCUAACGUAAGUUCAUAUCAAGUUUUGGUUGUUCCAGGCUUUCCACUGCGGAACUGAAGACUAAAACGAUAUUCGAGCGGACAAAAGCUUUCCUCAAGUAGCGGUACUUCGCGAGUGUCUGCUCUGCAACGUCUGCGUUCCGGCGCUGAGUGGGAACAAAGUGGCAAUGCGUGAGGCCAACAAGUGGCGCGCCAACAUCAGCCGGACAUUCGAGGACAAGGCCGAGACUGAUUUUCAGGUGUGCGGCCAAUUCGUCCACACCAAAGAACCAGCCCAGGCUAGCUGCCCUGGGAACCACGAGGAAGCCGUCUGCCUCCACAUU